GAUGAAGAACGCAGCGAAAUGCGAUAAGUAAUGUGAAUUGCAGAAUUCAGUGAAUCAUCGAAUCUUUGAACGCACAUUGCGCCCGCCAGUAUUCUGGCGGGCAUGCCUGUUCGAGCGUCAUUACAACCCUCAGGCCCCCGGGCCUGGCGUUGGGGAUCGGCGGAGCCCCCCGUGGGCACACGCCGUCCCCCAAAUGCAGUGGCGGUCCCGCCGCAGCUUCCAUCGCGUAGUAGCUAACACCUCGCGACUGGAGAGCGGCGCGGCCACGCCGUAAAACACCCAACUCUUCUGAAGUUGACCUCGAAUCAGGUAGGAAUACCCGCUGAACUUUAGCAUAUCAAUAAGCGGAGGA
rnacentral:misc_RNA from 1 species